rnacentral:rRNA from 1 species
UACGUAGGGGGCAAGCGUUGUCCGGAAUCAUUGGGCGUAAAGAGCGUGUAGGCGGUUCGGUAAGUCGGCUGUGAAAGUCCAGGGCUCAACCCUGGGAUGCCGGUCGAUACUGCCGGACUAGAGUUCGGAAGAGGCGAGUGGAAUUCCCGGUGUAGCGGUGAAAUGCGCGAGAUAUCUGGAGGAACACCGGUGGCGAAGGCGGCAUCCUGGACCGGCAUUGACGGCUGAGGCG